GCAACAAAAAAACGCAUAAGCCACAAAUGGUAUACAUCAAGAUAUUCAAAAGCCACAGAAUGGCGUACAAAUUAUCUAAGAAAGACAAACAACAAAAAGAAGGAGAAAGCAACAAGCAAACAAAGAGUGUGAGUCAACAACAAAUAGGCGACAUAGAACAACGCCGAGGCACAGUAAUCACCAAGUUACUUCAUUCAAAAUCACUUCGCCUUCCUGAAGCCUCGUGCUUGGGGGGCUGUGGACUAGGCGAUGAUCCAAGGAAUAUUUUACCUAGGCCCAAUAGCGAACGACCCAUUACAUCCAACCCAAUGGAAGUUAAAUCAGACAAAUGGCGGGAAUGAGGAGCUCCAUGAUCCCACAACUGCACAAGUCUCCUAUGCAUCACCACCACUAUUCCAUGAUCAAAGAAGACAAUGGAGGUAACCGCCCACUUUCACCCCAUGAUCGCCUGUAGAGAAGGGAGUAAUUACCCACUUUCCCAUGAUCCCAUGAUGAUCAAAGUGACGGAGUGGGGGAAGUGGCUCAAUAAAACAAUAGAAGAAGAAAUGCUAUAAAUAGGACCUGUUCCAAGAGGAGAAGGAGGAGGGAAGCUCUCCACAACACAACAUUAAGCAAACACAACUCUUUCAAUCUUGUAAAGAGAAUCAAUAUUUUUUCUCUGAUCAUAAUUGUACGCAUUAUCAUUCUUGAAUAUCAAUAAUAUAACCCCCUUGAAUGAGGUCGUGGUCGCAUUCAUUACAGAAAAUAUUCACUUGUUCACAUGUUUAGAGAAACAUCUCAAACGAAAGAAACAUCAAAUAUGUUGCUCCAUGACACAAAAACUAUAGUAGAGAAACGUGUGGAAUGAGCAAAACAACUAAAUACCCCGAUUUUAUGAAGCCUGAGUUAAAAAAGCAAACUUAGUUGAAUACCGAUGAUACCAAAUGAAAUUCAAAACAAGUAUUGCAAUUCAUAGUUCAAAAUAAUCCAAUAUCUCUAACAAGAGUUGAACUAUCAGGCGAUCAAUACCACAAGCGACCAAUACCACUGUUAGCAUCUCCUUGGAAAUAAAAAGGCAUCAAUAUAACAUCAAAGUUGUUCAAGACCGUUACCCAUGUUUUCUCCGACAACCACCGAAGCUCUCUUUCGUCGCCGAUCUCUUUGAGGGUCGUCGUCGCUACAAGGUCAUGAUGGUUGGUUUCCAGUCAUCCCAAUUAACUCUCCUCCUUCGCCAUUCUCUUGAUUGGUCGUGCUUCUUGGGUCGUCGUUUUGUUGGCUCUGUUUCU
rnacentral:lncRNA from 1 species